CAGGUUCGUCCACCUCUGCCUCUUCCAGCCGGGCAAGAUCCAAGGACAGAACCUGCAAGCAGCACAAGGCACGGAUCCGUCAUUUCUGCAAUAAGUAAUGCCCAGUGCUGCUGGCCCCCAUCUGUGGGGGCUCCGGUUCAGAGCAGCCCUGAGGCAGGACCGGAGUGAUGGGGCCAGGCCCCUUUUCUGCUGCUGGCAAGAAGCCGUGCUGGGUGGCUGUGCCUGGGGUGUGACAGGAGGAACUCUUCCUACUGGAGGAGUUCCCCAGCCAAGGCUGAUGACCCUCUGUGCGUCUCUGCAGCAUUUCUGUCCUGGCUUUCUUUUGCCACGUUUCCUAAGGUGUAAACUUUUGCUCCAGCCCUGGCAGUCUCUCCUCUCCCUUCUUAUCCCCUUUCUCAUGUUGGGGAGCUGCCGUGCUGUUUCCCCUGGUGCCCUUCAGUGGGAGUGGGGCAGAGCCUGCUGGAGCCAGGGGUCACCCGAGAGCUGCUCCCCCCUGCCCGUGGGGUCCUCACCACCUCCAGGAGGGCUUCACUGCUGGGUCUUUUACCCUCUGAGCCCUGUAAUUGUGCGUGUUGGGUGCAGUCUAAAUUACCCCAAACCCCACAAAUAUUGAAACAUUCUUUAGUGAAAUCACACUUUGUUUUUA